rnacentral:rRNA from 1 species
GACGAACGCUGGCGGCGUGCCUAAUACAUGCAAGUCGAGCGCAGGAAACUGACGGAACUCUUCGGAGGGAAGGCAGUGGAAUGAGCGGCGGACGGGUGAGUAACACGUAAGGAACCUGCCUCAAGGAUUGGGAUAACUCCGAGAAAUCGGAGCUAAUACCGGAUAGUUCAACGGACCGCAUGGUCCGCGGAUGAAAGGCGCUCCGGCGUCACCUUGAGAUGGCCUUGCGGUGCAUUAGCUAGUUGGUGGGGUAACGGCCCACCAAGGCGACGAUGCAUAGCCGACCUGAGAGGGUGAUCGGCCACACUGGGACUGGGACACGGCCCAGACUCCUACGGGAGGCAGCAGUAGGGAAUCUUCCACAAUGGACGAAAGUCUGAUGGAGCAACGCCGCGUGAGUGAUGAAGGUUUUCGGAUCGUAAAACUCUGUUGUAAGGGAAGAACACGUACGAGAGGAAAUGCUCGUACCUUGACGGUACCUUACGAGAAAGCCACGGCUAACUACGUGCCAGCCGCCGCUGUAAAAC